rnacentral:rRNA from 1 species
GCAUAUCAAUAAGCGGAGGAAAAGAAACUAACAAGGAUUCCCCUAGUAACUGCGAGUGAAGCGGGAAAAGCUCAAAUUUAAAAUCUGGCGGUCUCCGGCCGUCCGAGUUGUAAUCUAGAGAAGUGUUAUCCGCGCUGGACCGUGUACAAGUCUCCUGGAAUGGAGCGUCAUAGAGGGUGAGAAUCCCGUCUUUGACACGGACUGCCAGGGCUUUGUGAUGCGCUCUCAAAGAGUCGAGUUGUUUGGGAAUGCAGCUCAAAAUGGGUGGUAAAUUCCAUCUAAAGCUAAAUAUUGGCGAGAGACCGAUAGCGAACAAGUACCGUGAGGGAAAGAUGAAAAGAACUUUGGAAAGAGAGUUAAACAGUACGUGAAAUUGCUGAAAGGGAAACGCUUGAAGUCAGUCGCGUUGGCCGGGGAUCAACCUUGCUUUUGCUGGGCGUACUUUCCGGUCGACGGGUCAGCAUCAAUUUUGACCGUUGGAUAAAGUCCAGGGGAAUGUGGCAUCUUCGGAUGUGUUAUAGCCCUUGGUCGCAUACAACGGUUGGGAUUGAGGAACUCAGCACGCCGCAAGGCCGGGUACUUGUACCACGUUCGUGCUUAGGAUGCUGGCAUAAUGGCUUUAAUCGACCCGUCUUGAAACACGGACCAAGGAGUCUAACAUGCCUGCGAGUGUUUGGGUGGAAAACUCGGACGCGUAAUGAAAGUGAAAGUUGAGAUCCCUGUCGYGGGGAGCAUCGACGCCCGGACCAGACCUUUUGUGACGGAUCCGCGGUAGAGCAUGUAUGUUGGGACCCGAAAGAUGGUGAACUAUGCCUGAAUAGGGUGAAGCCAGAGGAAACUCUGGUGGAGGCUCGUAGCGAUUCUGACGUGCAAAUCGAUCGUCAAAUUUGGGUAUAGGGGCGAAAGACUAAUCGAACCAUCUAGUAGCUGGUUCCUGCC